CUCCUCACACGCUGGACUGCACUUCAUAAUCCUGCCAACACUUAAAUCCCUUUUGCUUCCUAGACUGUCCAGAGCAAUUGAUAAUGCUGAUGCUUUAGGAAGCAAUGCUGUGCUUUAAGUCAGUUUGGAACUCAUGUUUCAGCAAGGGCCCACUGCGUUCCCAGGCAUGGCAGAAAUCAAGUGAAACGUAAUGCAUAGAGCCUGACCACCUCUGGUCCCAAAGGCUUGCUUGGAACUCCUCACAGGAUGGAAACCUUCCUAUUUCUGCAUUAAUCCUUGUCUGCUGGCCAAGUUCCAACUCAGAAGAACUGUAGGAUGAAGAGAAGGUGGUGACGCAACACUGACCAGAGCAGAACCAAAGAGAAUGACAGACUCAUGAGAUCCUCUGAUCUGGUCCCCUCCCUCAGCCAGUGCCUUGAAUGUGAUAGAGACUCUCUUAAUUGGUUACCAGCAUGAAGCAGUGAAGUUCCAGCAAACUGAAUUUAAACUCAGCAUUUAGAAACC
rnacentral:lncRNA from 1 species